UGAGGAACAUGACUUUCGGCGGGGGAUAGCCGGCCCAACGGCCGGGUAAUACCGCGUACGACCACAUGGGGACAUCCCUGAGUGGUGAAAGCAGCAAUGCGCCGAUGGAGUGCCUCGCGGCCUAUCAGCUAGUUGGGUGGGGUAACGGCCUACCAAGGCAACGACGGGUAGCUGGUCUGAGGAGGAUGGCCAGCCACAUUGGGACUGAGACACGGCCCAGACUCCUACGGGAGCAG
rnacentral:rRNA from 1 species